GGUUGCCUUCUUUUUUUUUUCUCACCUCAGGACAUGAUGGAAUAGAAAUUUUUUCCUUGCAAAAUUUUUCUGUUCAGUCCACAUUUUCCAUCUCUACUUCCUGGAUCCUGGUCGAUCGGGCAUUUGCAGACCCAACAAAAAGGUUGAGAAUUUUAUUAAGGCUGGGUGGUGGUAUCAAGCAAGAGAGCGGAUAAAAAAUAACAGCCAAAAGGCAUACAAAAGUUCGAUGUUAUGCAUAAUUUAAGAGAACAAGAGAGCGGAUAAAAAAUAACAGCCAAAAGGUUAGACUAUCAUGUUUCUUGAAAAUCGCUUCAUUAUAUUGCUUUAAUUUGUUUAUCUUUCAUUUGAUUUGAUUGUCAACUUGAAAAAUGUAUGGGAAAUGACUUAGACCCUGUAUGUGAAACAUAGUAGGGUGUCGGCAUUUAUGGGAAAAGCAAUUAAUUCAGGAAUGCAUAUAAGCUGUUUGGUGAAAUGU